rnacentral:piRNA from 1 species
UUUAACAUGAGCUAAAUGUUGCUAUGGUAC